AGUAGCGUGAUGGAACUGGCAUACAUCGCAGACUUAAAAUCUGUGGCUCGUUUGAGAUUGAGGGUUCGAAUCCCUCCGUUACUACCA
rnacentral:tRNA from 1 species